AGCGAUUGCAGGACUCCACGAGAGUGAAACAUUAUCAACCAUGAAAAGGAGAUGUUUAGCAUCCAAAGACUAUUAGAGAGAGAGAGAGAGAGGUAUUAUAAUAGAAGUGCGUAAAAAGGAUGAUAAAUGCAAUAAAAAUGGAGGCAAAUGAUUAAUUCAUAUACGAAACUCUUUGCAACAUAUUGCAAGCCAAAUCCAGAGGAACAGU